rnacentral:rRNA from 1 species
AUUGAACGCUGGCGGCAGGCCUAACACAUGCACGUCGAACGAGUGGCGGACGGGUGAGUAAUGUCUGGGAAACUGCCUGAUGGAGGGGGAUAACUACUGGAAACGGUAGCUAAUACCGCAUACCAUCAGAUGUGCCCAUAGGGGAUUAGCUUGUUGGGGGGGUAACGGCUCACCAGGGCGAAGAUCCCUAGAUGGUCUGAGAGGCUGACCAGCCACCCGGUCACUGCGACACGGUCCAGACUCCUUCGGGAGGCAGCAGUGGGGAAUAUUGCACAAUGGGCGCAAGCCUGAUGCAGCCAUGCCGCGUGUAUUAAGAAGGCCUUCGGUUUGUAAAGUACUUUCAGCGGGGAGGCGUUACCCGCAGAAGAAGCACCGGCUAACUCCGUGCCAGCAGCCGCGGUAAUAC